AAAUUUAAAUGAUAAGAUUAGAUAUUAAAUGUAACAUGACUUUAUAGGAAUAGAUCCAUUAGGUCCAUUUUUUAAAACAAUCACACAUGAAUCAAGGUUGAGACUUAUGUUUUAAUAUAUAAGAUGUUCAUCCCAACAAUUGCAAAUGUUUAUCCCAACAAUUGCAAAGAUUUAUUUAAAUGGUUGCAAUGAUUCAUUUAAAUCUCUAACAUAAAAAUAUAUAUAUAAAAAUAAAAAAAUACAAUUUAAAAAACAAAAGAAAAUAUAAGUGAUGUCUAAUAGGUGAAAUAAAAUAAAUAUCUAUAAUAAAAAAGAAAAAAAAUGAUAAUAACAAAGAAAUAAACAGUUAUAAGGCAGUUUAAAUGAAAAUGUACUAUAAAUAUAAUUGAAAAUAAAUUAAAUAAAAAGGGAUAUAAUUUUAAAAAAUAAAAGCAGUUAUAAAUGAAAAGGUAUCAUAAACUGUUUUGAAAAAUGAAUAAUGAACAGUUAUGAACAAAAUUCUAAUGAAAAUGCAUAUCCUAAAAUCAAAUAAAACAAUAAGGUUGUAUACAUAAACGUUUAUAUAAACUAAAUUGGGAUAUAUUAUUCAUGGGCUGGUUGGUUUGUUUUACAAUAGCAACAAUUACAAGAAGGACACAACAAUAACAUGAAACGGAUAUAAACAAUUUUGUAUGUAUGAAAGACAAACCUUUUCAUGUAGUAUAAGAAAAACAUUAAGACUAAUGAUUUCAUUAUUUCAUUUUGGAUUUUAGCUAACCAAACACGUAAAACUCGUCCUACUAUUUUUUGUUUAUAACGUUCAAUUUGAAUAUCUUCUAAAAAUUUGUAACCAAGUAACUGCAUAAACUUUUUUUUUCCACCAUUUUAUUAGCUCGAUAAGUGAAAAUUUUAUUUUGAGAAAUGCAUGUCAGAGACUAUUUAGAGAUUUUAAAAAUUUAUUUGAAUAGUCACAACUAUUCAAUUUGAAUAGUCACAUUCUUUCAAUUUAAAGGUAGUUAUUUUCAAAAGAUUCUUAUAAGAAUAGUCACAACUUUUUUACUUUUUAUAAGAUAUUUAUAUGAAUUUUUACUUUUUAGGAAAGACACAUCCUUCUAACAUUGAACUUUUAGAAAAGACACAACCUUUUUGGCAUCUUUUAGAAAAGACACAACUUUUUAACAUAGAACUUUUAGAAAAGACACAACUUUUUUGACAUUUUUUAGAAAUGACACAACUUUUCAACAUAAGUAGGAUUCACAACCUUUGGAAUUAAUUGAGAUUGCUAUUAUUAGUAGAUUAUGAACGCAUAUGCUACCAAACAUUCUUGUUUUCCUUUGAUAUAUUGUAUAAUUUUUUUGGGUGCAAAUGUUAAGUGAUAUAUUGUAUAUUGUCUUAUCAUUUGCAUUCUUGCAAUUUUUACAAAGUAAUCCCCUUCUAACUUAUUUCAAAAACAAGGUAACAAAAGGGUAGAAAAACCAUUACAGAUUAACAGUUCAAGUUUUAUAUACGAGAAGUUGUAGGUUGAAAGAUUUACAGGUCAGAAAAAGUCAUGGCAAUUGUAUUUGCUGUUGUUAGGUUAAUCUAACUAGGAUCCACUUUUGACUUGUUCAUUUCCAUCGAAUCUACUUUCAACACAAUUUUGAUUCACAUGAUCUGCAUUGUUACCCUUAGCUACUCCAAAACCACAAUUCUUGCUUUCUGAUCCAUCUCUGAGCAUUUCAAAUGGGGAAGAAAGGCCAUUUUUCCGUUGUAACAUCAAAAUGGUAAAAUAUUAUUACAUAUUCAUCACGUUUACGAUUGUUACGUGCUGUGUGUUCAUGAGAAUUAGGUCCGAGCAAGAGGUGUGGAUUAAACGACGAAGCAUGUGAGAGUUGAAACUUAUACAUUACUGACGGUUACUAUGGUCUACUGGUGGUUGGUCCUGAAGGAAGAGUCGCUAGGCCUUUAGCUACUCAUGUAGAAGGAAAGCCUAUACCCUUUGCCAACGAUCUUGACAUCCAUACAAAUGGCUCCAUCUUCUUCACUGACACGAGCAAAAGACAUGACAGAGCAUAGUCAAAAAGCCUCAUGCUUACCGUUAGUAUGAUAUACGAGUUAGACUUUGAACCAAUUGCAGAUGGAUCUGCUUGGGAGUAACUAAUGAUUAAUGACACUUGGGAGUGAAGUGAGGGAGGCUCAAGGGAAGCUUUGGAUUGGAAAAUUGGCUCAUAACCAUAUUGCAACUUUGUCUUAUCGUUUAACAAUCAACUAGUGAACAAUAUAAAAGUGUAGUUUGUAUCUCUUUGUAACUUACUAUCUCUGUUUCGAUUUUGAGUACAUCGGGCUGCUGUGUUUAUCUUUUGUUGAUGUGUGCAGAAGAUUAAUAUUGAACUUUUCUUUUGUUGGAAUCA